AUGCAUCAACCCUUUCUCUUUCGGCACUGUUUGACCACUGCUCAUUUCUUCCAUUUUCUCUCUCUUAAUAUUCAUUUUUUUCUUCUCUCUCUUCACUUCAAUAUUCUUCAUUCUCUCUCUCAAAUCUUCAAACUACAAUUUUUUUCUGUCUUUGAAUCGCUUCACUUUGAGUUGCAUGAGCUCUCAUUUCUUCAGCAGAGAUAA